GAUGAACGCUGGCGGCGUGCCUAAUACAUGCAAGUCGAGCGAACGGACGAGAAGCUUGCUUCUCUGAUGUUAGCGGCGGACGGGUGAGUAACACGUGGAUAACCUACCUAUAAGACUGGGAUAACUUCGGGAAACCGGAGCUAAUACCGGAUAAUAUUUUGAACCGCAUGGUUAAAAAGUGAAAGACGGUCUUGCUGUAACUUAUAGAUGGAUCCGCGCUGCAUUAGCUAGUUGGUAAGGUAACUGCUUACCAAGGCAACGAUGCAUAGCCGACCUGAGAGGGUGAUCGGCCGCACUGGAACUGAGACACGGUCCGGACGCCUACGGAAGGCAGAAGUAGGGAAUCUUCCGCAAUAGGCGAAAGCCUGAUGGGGCAACGCCGGGUGAGUUAUAAAGGGCUACGCAACGUGAGAUUGUUUUAUUAGAGAAGAAGAUUUGUGUAAGUAAUUGUGCACAUCAUGACGGUACCUAAUCAGAGAUGCACGGCUAACAACAUG
rnacentral:rRNA from 1 species